rnacentral:rRNA from 1 species
ACAUCCAGCGAACUUGGCAGAGAUGCCUUGGUGCCUUCGGGAACGCUGAGACAGGUGCUGCAUGGCUGUCGUCAGCUCGUGUUGUGAAAUGUUGGGUUAAGUCCCGCAACGAGCGCAACCCUUAUCCUUUGUUGCCAGCGAUCGGUCGGGAACUCAAAGGAGACUGCCGGUGAUAAACCGGAGGAAGGUGGGGAUGACGUCAAGUCAUCAUGGCCCUUACGAGUAGGGCUACACACGUGCUACAAUGGCGCAUACAAAGAGAAGCGACCUCGCGAGAGCAAGCGGACCUCAUAAAGUGCGUCGUAGUCCGGAUCGGAGUCUGCAACUCGACUCCGUGAAGUCGGAAUCGCUAGUAAUCGUGGAUCAGAAUGCCACGGUGAAUACGUUCCCGGGCCUUGUACACACCGCCCGUCACACCAUGGGAGUGGGUUGCAAAAGAAGUAGGUAGCUUAACCUUCGGGAGGGCGCUUACCACUUUGUGAUUCAUGACUGGGGUGAAGUCGUAACAAGGUAGGCGUAGCGAG